AUGAAGGAAUUGUUCAAAAUGAGUGAUCUAGGCUUGUUAAGCUUUUACCUUGGGAUUGAGGUACAUCAAAGUAGAGAUGGGAUCACAUUGUGCCAAGAGGCAUAUGCCACAAAAAUUCUGGUGAAUUGUGGCAUGGAUGAUUGCAAUCCUUCACAUACGCCUAUGGAGGCUAAGCUCAAGUUGAGCAAAUGGAGUGAGGCGCCGGCCGUUGAUCCAACAGAUUACAGAAGCAUUGUGGGGAGCCUAAGGUACUUGGUGAACACAAGGGCUGAUUUGGCCUACUCUGUUGGGAUCGUUAGUAGAUACAUGGAGCACCCUACUACUGAACAUCUAGUUGCGGUGAAGCAAAUUUUGAGGUAUGUUAAGGGCACUCUAAAAUAUGGCUGA
rnacentral:rRNA from 1 species